UACAAGACAACUACUGAAUUUCAAAUAAUAAUAAUAAAUACACACAGGACAAGACUACAGAUAAUGCGACCCCAAUCAAUAAACAAGUUCUAAACAUAUUUAUCCACAAUCUUCAUUUAGCAUAAAAUAUGUUUAACCAGAAACAGAACUCCAUCCCCUAGUAAAAGGUCUAAUUGCCCUUUAUCCUGAGCAAUUUUUACAGAAUCCACAAAAUAGCCUUAACGAUUCACAUUCAGAUAUAAUCAUCACUACAUUAAGCCUUCUCCCCAGUAAGAAGAUCCAUCACUACGCGCUUGAUACUCCCAUUGUUCUUCUUCAGCAGGUUCCUGUUCAUUUCUUUGUUAGAAAAACCCAUCUCCUCC
rnacentral:misc_RNA from 1 species